UCCAAUAUGCUGCCUUUGCCUGCAUUUGCACCUGCACUUUACUUGCUUUUCUCUCUUCAACUAUCUACCUGAAUUAGUCCCUACAAAACACACAUUUUCAUGGAAAAAAACACAAGAUUACGUUGUGUAUGUGUGUGGGAAUGGAUGAGAAACCAAGCACGAGGUGCAGGUGCAUCUGCAGGCGAAUGACAUCUUGGA
rnacentral:pre_miRNA from 2 species